AAAUACUGCUCAAGAUUCUCACAAGAUUUCAACAAACCGUCAACAUGCAAUUUGUUUAAUUUCUCAACAUUAAACAAAAAUCCAAAUAUCUCUUCAUAAUGUUUAAGAUGUUCAAAGCAGGUUUGAAGUGAUGAUCGAGCUCGAUCAAUUAUAAAGAGAAAAUAAUCAACUUUAAAAGAUUCUUCAAUUGAUUUUGUUACCUCUUCACUCUUACUUUCAUCGAACUGUAACUUCUUUCGAAUGCUGCGUUUAUCUCAGAAUACAACGUCAAUUCCCAUUUCACUUAACAUUUGUUGAGCUUCAUCUGUAGCACUAGCAAAUUCAGAUUCUCUACACUUUUCGAGAAACAAAAUAAGUACUUGUACUAGCUUGAUAACUUCAUCAAUAUCCAUGUUUUCAGCUUGAAAAAAAAUUUAUUUACAAUAUUGAUUGUAUGCAACAACUUAUAUCAAAUGACCAUGCCAAGUAAAACUCAAAAUUCUCAAGUUAAUAUAUUGUUAAGGACAUAGCUUCACUCUUUGUUUUGAGAUCUUUAGCAAUGUUUGUCAAUUCAAGUAAAACGUCUCUUAUUUGUACAGAUUAUUCUUUUCUAGGUUUGACACUUUCUACAUGACUUUUUCAGUGUGUUUAUGACAAUCCUUUAAGUGUCAGACCUUCAACCUUAUCUUGAAAAAUCUUCCAUCGUUCAGUAGAAGAAGAGAACAGUGUG
rnacentral:lncRNA from 1 species